AGCGAACGCUGGCGGCAGGCCUAACACAUGCAAGUCGAACGAACCUUUCGGGGUUAGUGGCGGACGGGUGAGUAACACGUGGGAACGUGCCUUUAGGUUCGGAAUAACUCAGGGAAACUUGUGCUAAUACCGAAUGUGCCCUUCGGGGGAAAGAUUUAUCGCCUUUAGAGCGGCCCGCGUCUGAUUAGCUAGUUGGUUGAGGUAAUGGCUCACCAAGGCGACGAUCAGUAGCUGGUCUGAGAGGAUGAUCAGCCACACUGGGACUGAGACACGGCCCAAACUCCUACGGGAGGCAGCAGUGGGGAAUCUUGCGCAAUGGGCGAAAGCCUGACGCAGCCAUGCCGCGUGAAUGAUGAAGGUCUUAGGAUUGUAAAAUUCUUUCACCGGGGACGAUAAUGACGGUACCCGGAGAAGAAGCCCCGGCUAACUUCGUG
rnacentral:rRNA from 1 species